ensembl:snoRNA
GAUCAAUGAUGAGUCUAUUCCAAACCUGAGUUGUGAUGACACACUUAUUAUGGAUCUGACUGCUGAGUU